CNACGCCGUAAACGAUGAAUGCUAGCUGUUAGCGAUAUACUGUUAGCGGCACAGAGAAAUCGUUAAGCAUUCCACCUGGGGAGUACGCCGGCAACGGUGAAACUCAAAGGAAUUGACGGGGGCCCGCACAAGCGGAGGAACAUGUGGUUUAAUUCGAUGAUACGCGAGGAACCUUACCUGGGCUUAAAUUGCAGUGGAAUAACGUGGAAACAUGUUAGCCUUCGGGCCGCUGUGAAGGUGCUGCAUGGUUGUCGUCAGCUCGUGCCGUGAGGUGUCGGCUUAAGUGCCAUAACGAGCGCAACCCUCAUCGAUAGUUACUAACAGGUUAAGCUGAGGACUCUAUCGAGACUGCCGACGUAAGUCGUGAGGAAGGUGGGGAUGACGUCAAAUCAGCACGGCCCUUACGUCCAGGGCUACACACGUGUUACAAUGGGGGGUACAAAGGGCAGCUACCUGGCGACAGGAUGCUAAUCUCUAAAACCUCUCUCAGUUCGGAUUGGAGUCUGCAACCCGACUCCAUGAAGCUGGAUUCGCUAGUAAUCGCGCAUCAGCCACGGCGCGGUGAAUACGUUCCCGGGCCUUGUACACACCGCCCGUCAAGCCAUGGGAGCCGGGGGGACCUGAAGUAUGCAACCGUAAGGAGCGUCCUAGGGUAAAACUGGUGACUGGGGCU
rnacentral:rRNA from 1 species